rnacentral:rRNA from 1 species
CAGUAGCCGCGGGAAUACGAGGGGGGCAAGCGUUGUUCGGAAUUAUUGGGCGUAAAGGGUGCGUAGGCGGUUUGACAAGUCUUAUGUGAAAUCUUCGGGCUCAACCCGAAGUCUGCAUGAGAAACUGUCGGGCUUGAGUAUGGGAGAGGUGAGUGGAAUUUCCGGUGUAGCGGUGAAAUGCGUAGAUAUCGGAAGGAACACCUGUGGCGAAAGCGGCUCACUGGACCAUAACUGACGCUGAUGCACGAAAGCUAGGGGAGCAAACAGGAUUAGAUACCCCAGUAGUCCCUGUCUCUUAUAC